rnacentral:tRNA from 1 species
GCCAACAUGGUGUCGUGGUUUGAGUGUUGGACUACAACUCCAGAGACCAGGGUUUGAAUCCCUGCUCAGCCA